rnacentral:lncRNA from 1 species
AUCCGGAACCAAAUAAUCAACCCGUACCAAAUUGAAAAAAUGAAACCAAACUUGAACCAAAAUUUAUAAAUAACCGAACAUAUCAUAUAUCUCUAGAACCAAGAUAAAUAGAUACCUGAAUUUUAAAAAUACAAAUUAUAUAUCUACAAAUAUUAAUUAUAUGUAAUUUCUAAAUAACCAAAUAUCUUAAAUAUACUAUUUAUAAGCUGAAUUAUCCAAUAAAAACAAAUUACUCAAACAUUUUUUCAAACAUUAAAAAAAUAUCUUUAAUAAGUCCUCAACAUUCAGUCUAAUUUUCUACUAAAAAGAACCAAAACACCAAUAAGUGAUAUCCAAAGUCAAACC